UACGUAGGGACCAAGCGUUGUUCGGAUUUACUGGGCGUAAAGGGCGCGUAGGCGGCGUGACAAGUCACUUGUGAAAUCUCUGGGCUUAACCCAGAACGGCCAAGUGAAACUGUUGUGCUAGAGUGCGGAAGGGGCAACUGGAAUUCUUGGUGUAGCGGUGAAAUGCGUAGAUAUCAAGAGGAACACCUGCGGCGAAGGCGGGUUGCUGGGCCGACACUGACGCUGAGGCGCGAAAGCCAGGGGAGCGAACGGG
rnacentral:rRNA from 1 species